AUUGAACGCUGGCGGCAGGCCUAACACAUGCAAGUCGAACGAGUGGCGGACGGGUGAGUAAUGUCUGGGAAACUGCCUGAUGGAGGGGGCUAACUACUGGAAACGGUAGCUAAUACCGCAUACCAUCCGAUGUGCCCAGAUGGGAUUAGCGAGUUGGGGGGGUAACGGCUCACCAAGGCGACGAUCCCUAGCUGGUCUGAGAGGAUGACCGGCCAAACUGGGACGUAGACACGGCCCAGAGUCCUACGUGAGGCAGCAGUAGGGAAUCUUGCGCAAUGGGCGAAAGUCUGACCGAGCCAUGCCGCGUGAGUGAAGAAGGCUUUCGGAUUGUAAAACACUUUUAGCGGGGAGGCGUUACCCAAAGAGAAAGCCCCGGCUAACUACGUGCCAGCAGCCGCGGUAAUAC
rnacentral:rRNA from 1 species